UUUAAAUAGCUGCAGUAAUUUAACUGUACAAAGGUAGCAUAAUAAUUAGUCUUUUAAUUGAGGUCUAGAAUGAAUGGUUUAACAAGAAGUAAACUUUAUUAAUUCAAUUAAGUGAAAUUUAUUUUUUAGUUAAAAAGCUAAAAUUUAAAAAUGGGACGAUAAGACCCUUUAGAUCUUUAAAUUUUAAUUAAAUAACAAUAUUAAUGUGGAUAUAAUUUUUAUUUUAAAAAAUUUUUUGUUGGGGUGACAGCUAAAAUUUUAAACCUUUAGUGUUUUAUACCAUUUUUUCAUGUAAUUUUGAACCUUAAUUUAGGGUUAAUAAAAUAAGAUACCUUAGGGAUAACAGCAUAAUAAAUUUGUAAAGUUCAUAUAUAUAAAUUUGAUUGUGACCUCGAUGUUGAAUUAAUCUAGAAUUCUGGGGCAGAAAAUAGAAUUUUAGGUCUGUUCGACCUUUAAAAGAUUACA
rnacentral:rRNA from 1 species